UCGUCCUUGCCAGUGAUUUUUCUGUUCUCUUGUGCUCAGCUCUGACAGGGGAGUCUGGCAGGACACACAGCAAUCUCCCUCUCAGUUUAGGAGAGCCGUUCUAAGAAUAGGGCUGGCUCUUAAAGGCACGAGAGGACAAU
ensembl:scaRNA